UGCUAGAUUUUUAAAGAAGUUUGGGUACACCUUCCGAAACCCAGGGAGGCCACACCGUUUGGCUGUAGUUUUCGCGGAAGCUUGGGAGAUAUCUUUACACUCCGCCUCUUCCUUCUGCAGUCACGGGAAGCAGUUACGAGCAGAUCAGAAAUCGAACACGUUUGCUUUUGCGAUUCGAGAGCCCUUUCUGGCGCGGAGCUAGGGGCGGUGUUACGUAGCUGCCCUGAACUGAGAGCAACGGUGGCCGGGGGCUAGGGAGCCUGGCUGUCGGCGCUCACUGUGCGCCUUGGGCUGUGGGGCGCGGGCACUGUCCGAGGUACUGAACUCCGGGGCUCCGGCCGCGCCGGCAGAGUGUGCCGGCGUCCAUUAUUGCCAGUGUCUGUGGGCAUCUUCCAGAAGGCCGAGCGUGGGGGUCAGGUGAAACCAGGGCGCUCCCAAGCACCUUGCCCAGUAGAGCCCCCUUGCACCCUACUUGGUUGGUCAGCACCCCGUGGACAUGCAGCCUUGACCUUGGCAUGGGGAGCCUCCACUGUGUCAAGCCCAACAUCUAGGCCUCUGAAGACAGUCAUUCAGGGAGAGAGAAGAAACAGAAUGGAAGAAACAUGGAAGGAAGCAAGAUUCCUCCGAAUUCUAAAAGCUAGACUUCUCUCGGUUUUAGUUUUGAAUUUGGAAACAAGAAAAUAUUUCAUGUAAUUAAAAAUAUAAAAUAAAGCAAAUUUCCAAUUUCCUAAACUGGAAACAAACUGAAACAAACUAUAUAUCAAGUUUGUUACACAACUAUAAGAGGAGUAUUUCAAGUGAUUUUGAAACCCACUAUUUGGAGUAUGCAUGUCCAGUGAAAUAGAUGCUAAAACACUCAUGCAUAGCAGAAAAAGCAGUACAGCAAGCCUGACAUGGGAGUUGAGGCUAAACAUGGUGAGGAGGGCAUCUGUGUUUUGGGGGUGCAGGGGGAUGGUGGCAGUGGUGGCUACUCAGUGCAGGGUGUCGGGCGAUGGCUGUUCAUAGCAGAUACACACUAUGGUCCUUGUGAAUAGCAGAUACACACUAAAGUAUGGGGGAAUGAAAGGGGAUCAUGUCAGCAACUCACUCUCAGAUUGUUCGGCAGGGAAAAGCUUUUUGAACUAUUCCUGUAAUUUUUCUGUAAGUCUGAAAUUAUUUCAAAGUAGAAAGAAAAGAUAAUGGAAGAAUGAAUGGGGCACAAACUUAUUUUUCUGAGAAUUAGUAAAUGAAGAAAAAUAACCAAGUACUUCUCCUACUUUGUUCUGAUUUCAAAAUAAUCAAGUAGUUGAUCAGGGAAAGUUAUUCUUUAGAGAAGUAGAACAGCUAAUUAAGACAGAAGCAAAUGAUUUAAAUAGAGAAAAAGAAUCACCACUUUGCAACCCCUAAUGAUGUAAUGGAUCCAGGCUACAAUCAUCAAUGAGUGCUAAAACUUUUAGAAGGGUUGUAAGAGAUCUUUUAAGUUGAUGGGUUCGUUUGACAACAUUUGAAGUCAGGGAUCAAUUUUAACAUAUGAAAGUUGGGGAAAUCAGACAUUAGGUCGAUGUCAUAAGAAAUACUCAGCACCACCUAUGACUUGUUCCUGGCAAAAUGAAAGCUGAGCCAGAAUCUAAUGCAGUUUCUAGAGCAGUAGCUCUCAACCAACUGGGGAUGAUUUUGCCUCCCAGACAUUUGGCAAUGCCUGGUGACAUUUUAGGUAGUUAAAACUCGCAGCCAGGAAUGUGCUACUGACAUCCAGUGUCUAGAGGCCAGGGAUGCUGCUAAACAUCCCUUUGUGCACAGGGCAGCCCCCACAAUCAACAAUGAUCCAGUCCAAAAUAUCAACAGUGCAUCGUUGAGAAACCCUCCUCCAGAUCUAACUCCCGUAUAUAUAUGGGAGACCAAAAAACAUGUCAAAUAACAUCACAAGGAUGAAAUCAGCCAAACCUAAAAUACUAGAAAUGGUAUAGCACAAAUGAUCCACUUUCUCCAACAAAUGCAGUAAAUGAAAUGAAAAUGGAGAGAGGAGGGGGCACUGAAAUAGAUUUCUUAGAGACAUAAAAAAAAAAAUGCAAUGUGUGGACAUAAUUUGGAUUCUAAUUCAAACAAAGCAACCAUUAAAAAAAGAUUGAGGCAGUAUGGGGAAAUUUGAACACAGGCUGAGUGUUAUUAGAGGAUAUAAAGAACAUGUUAUUAAUUGUGUUCAAAGUGAUAUUAGUAGUGUGGUUAUGUUUUUGUAAGCCCUUGUUAGAGAGGCAUAUUAAUUAUUUAUAGGUUAGUGGUGUGAUGCCUGAGAGUUGCUUAAACACAGCACUUUUCAAAGUGCAGGCUAUAGAUAUCUGAGGCAAUCCCCAAGAUUAUUUCAGGGAUCUUCAGAGUCAAAACUAUUUUAAUAACAGUAUUACGAUGUCCCUCACCUUUUUCACUGCCUUGACAUUUGCACUGAUGAUGCAAAAGCAAUAAUGAAUAAAACUGCCAAUGCUCCAGCAGGAAUCAAGGCAGCAGUAUAGAACAGUCCUCAC